ACCCAGUCUCCAUCCUCCCUGUCUGCAUCUGUAGGAGACAGAGUCACCAUCACUUGCCGGGCAAGUCAGAGCAUUAGCAGCUAUUUAAAUUGGUAUCAGCAGAAACCAGGGAAAGCCCCUAAGCUCCUGAUCUAUGCUGCAUCCAGUUUGCAAAGUGGGGUCCCAUCAAGGUUCAGUGGCAGUGGAUCUGGGACAGAUUUCACUCUCACCAUCAGCAGUCUGCAACCUGAAGAUUUUGCAACUUACUACUGUCAACAGAGUUACAGUACCCUUCACUUUCGGCCCUGGGACCAAAGUGGAUAUCAAACG
rnacentral:lncRNA from 1 species